rnacentral:lncRNA from 1 species
UUUUUUUUUUUUUUUUUUUACUAAUUGUCUCUUUACCGAAUCUUGGACUAUAUUUCUAAGAUCAAAUGUAAAACAAAUCCAUCUCUCUCCUUUUGGACAUUCCAUGCCCCAAGUAUUACUACUUUUCCCUAAAUUCCUUGUAAUCCAAUAUUUUCCCCAUUUUGCCUGCAGGUACUCAGUUUGGGUGGGUCUGUGGCUGUUGACAUGGGUGUGUGUAACAAAAAGGAACUUUGGUUCCUUUCCGUGUAAUACUUUCUGUAGCAUUUGGGACACGAUCUUGCUGGUAUCUCAGAAGGGAAAAGACAACAAAUGAGAGACAGAAACAGGAAUGACAGAGGUCUGGCAUGGCUUAUACCCCCACCUCCCCUGCCUGUGGGGUUGCUUCCCACAGCAGGUACGUGUGAUCUUCUCGGUGGUGAGUACAGUGCUCAGUCCAGGCUUGCCCUCUGUUUCCCUUGUCACUCCUUUUUACUCAUUUUUUUAGGCAAGUCCUUUUCGACACUCCUUAACUGUGGUUUCCCACCGUUCCUCAGGUAUCUCUCACUCAACAGGCACUAAUAAUCCAUCCACAAAACAAAGUUAUUACUUCAGUUGUUUUGGGUUCUAUCUGUAUAGGGAAUUGAUUCAGUACUCGAUACCUCUUGCAACAAGAACAUAGAUUUUGUGAGCUACAACACCAAUUAUUCCCAUAAUUUGAACAUUCACUUGUAACCCAGCUAGCGUGUCCAGUAUUGGGAUGAAUCACAUAAAGUAUACAGUACAGUACUGAUGGCAAUUUCCCUUCUUCCCUGUACAAGCCACAGGCUGAGGCCAGGCUAUAAGAACUCUUUGACUGAAACACUCCCGAUCCUCCUGUUUGAAGUGGCAGUGUUCCUCUGCCAAGGAGGUGUCGGAGGCGUCUCAGGGUUUAUUCAGGCAGGGCUUAGAACCAGUGAUGCAAGCUUUGCCUUAUUUCUCAGUGAGGUGUUAUUCUUUGUACCUGCCUUGGAUCAUUUGGGUCUUCCCAAACCAUUACCACCCAGUCCUGGUUGGAAGUCAAUUUGGUAUCACCCGGUUUAGAUGUGAUAGUCCAUUCCUCAAGUUUCUUCACAAGUCCUUUGGUUUUGCUGGCAUGAAUUCACCCUCUUUCCAUGGUUUGGAUUGCUGCUUCAGUGGUACCUGGAAAGGAUUUCUUAAUAGCACAGUGUUAAAAGAAAAACAAUACUGCAUUAACUUUUACCAUUAGUUUUCUUUAAAACUUUCUGAGUUUAACUAAACUCUUUUUCUACAGCCACUUCUUCUUCUUGUAUCCAGCUGUGUUAAUAGCUGCAGAGACCAAUUCUUCUUCCUGUGAGCUAUAAUUAGUUAAAUAAAAAAGACCAGGCCAAUUUUAACAUGAGAUGUAUCACAUCUCUUGCCUUUUACUUUUUGGGUAACAUUUAACUGUUUUAGUCUUACAGACUUUUAGUCUUCAGAACAAAAGCCUUCUCUUCUUAACAACAGCAAUCAGAAAGAAAAAAGAAAUCUUGCUUAAGACAAUAAACCACUUUGUGAGAGUCACAAUCUCUGCCUUGAUCUUAUCUCUACUGGUGGUCCUGUUCACAGCCUUGGGUUUAACUCUGUCCUUCCCCACUUCCCCCCCUCCUUGUUGUCACUCUGCCUAGCAGGAAUGGGGGAGAACUUACAGAUAGCUGUGGCUGAGGGGACCUUGGGGGUGUAUUUCGCUCUCCCCUUCGCUCUCUUUCUCUCUCUCUCUCCCUUUCUCUCUCUUUCUUUUUCUCUCUUCACAUUUCAGCAGCCACAUUCCAAUAUCAGUCCACUUUCUAACAUUAAUCCUACAUCCUGGAGAGGUGAGUCUGCCAAUCACCUCUCCCCCCUUUUUCAACUUCCUUACAAAGUAAAUUACUUUUGUUAUGCGUGUUCUGCAGGCCUGUAAUUCACGGCACCCUCCACCAAGGCUACCAGCCACUCACAGCUGACAGUGCAAAAAUAAAGACUUAUUUUGCUAUCACAAUUUUUCCAUUCACAAGCUUGAAAAGGUUGCAGGAACAAAGUAAACAACAACUUACUUCCAAAGUGACCCUGCCUGCACCAAAACAAAUUUAAGGCAAUGCUAGUUAGUGCAAUGCAAUUUGCAACGAAGCCAAGGUUUGAUUUGGGAAGGGCAUCUGAGGACACAGAGCAUGAGUUUUACAAAUCUGUAUUUUGAAGAGGGAAUGGACAAAAUAUGAAUAGAGUUGAGGGCAGGGGGAGGACAGCAAGUGAGGAAUUUUUCUCUGCAAUACUCUCUUUUCGACUGCCAGGAAACACUCUAACACUCUCUCCAAGGAGAUAAAGAAAAGCUCAUAAAAAACAAUCUACAUUACAUAUACUACCAUUCAUCUACAUUUACUCACUUUUAUUUUUCACUAACUCUCACAUACAACAAGAAGAUACUUUUUACUUUCAAACAGUCUACAUUACAUAUCUACACCCUGAGUGCUGUUGGAAUGUUAAUCCCUCAACCCAGCAGGUUUGAAUCCUGGAUGCUCUUGGGCACUCUUAUCCCUCAAUCCGGCACUCCACGGGGUUCCUCUUCUUCCUAAGAUCCAGUCCCAGUUUCUCUGGGAGGGAUUCUCUCUUUUUUAUCACUCGCUUGGUCUCUUUACUGGCCGUUUUUCACAUGAAAAAGACGAAAAGCAGCAUGAGAGACUACAGCAAUCACUUGGCAAGUCUGGGAUACCCAGCAGCUUCUGUCACACACAUUCAUUCCCCCCUUAUCCGCCCCAUCCCAACAAAUACUCACCUAUCCUUUGUCCUUGGGUCUUGGUUCUUCGUGUACACUUUAGUCUUGGGGCUAAUUACUGUGGUUUUAGGGAAUGCUUUCCCUUUUCUUUGUUUUAUUGUCUCCUUUUGCCCAUAGAUCAUAACCUGUGUCUGGUCACACACCAGGGGAACAGAGCGAGGCUGCCUAAAUAGGGCAGGACCCGUCUUCCUCACCCUGACUCUCCAAGGCCCCGGCAGAGAGGUGUUAAAAACCAUCCUUUGCUACCAUAAUUGUGAAAAACGCCAAUCACUUGGCUGUUAAAUUUUUAAUAAUAAUAACAUGGUUAUUAAAAUAGUAAUACAAUUAGAGUAAUAAAAAUUUAGAGUUAGGACAAUUACAAGACAAUAAAAAGCAAAGAAUUAAGGAUGUCCAGAUGCUCUGGGGCACUUAAGCCACAACAAGCAUACCUUGUGAACAAAGGAAUCACCCCUAAAACUACACUAUUGCAUAUUCAUAUAUCCUUCAUGGUUAUGCAUACAUUCUAUUUAAAACAAGAAACUCUGUCUGUUAUAUGCCAACUAUUUCCUUUAAUCCCCAUGGCGUCUUCGAGUCUGAGCAAGGCCUGAAGAAAUUAGAUUCUUCUGACAAGAAAACCAUAAAUUCCUCUUCCUUGGAAGAUUUGGGUGUUCUGUGAUGGUUAUGUCAAAGCGAGUAUGUCAUUCCUUAAAAGAAAACCCAGAUACAUAGUUUCUAUUUUAACUACUAAAGCUUCAAUUUAACUACACAACUACAUUUACAGUACUAUUAAAAUGUUAAUACAGCACUACUAUUCAAACUAACAUAUGUGCAUUUUUCACCUUGGGCGUCUGGUGGAGUAUCCCCGGAAAGUGCCCAUCUCUGCAGGGAGCCACGUGUUUUCAAUUGUAAAUUAGGUCUUUCUUUCUCUGUCAUCUGUGGUUUCCAGUCUUUCCCGGCUGGGUCUUCAGGUCUUUUAAAACUUUAAGAAUCUUUUUCUACUAGCACAACUGACUUCAUGUAUAUUUUACAUAAUCACGAAUUAUUCCAUAAUUUAUAUUACAAUGGGGCUGCACAGAUCCCCCUGCAGCUCCAUGGGGAUGCAGAGAUACCCCUGCAGCUCCAUGGGGAUGCAGAGAUCCCCCUGCAGGUCCGUGGGGAUGCAGAGAUCCCCCUGCAGGUCCGUGGGGAUGCAGAGAUCCCCCUGCAGCCCCUGGAGGAGCCAGGCUGGAGCUCGGGGAUGCCUGAGAGGAGGCUGUGACCCCGUGGGCAGAGGGGCCCCGCUGGAGCAGCCUGGCCUGGCAGGACCGAGCCCGUGGCACAGUGACCCACGCUGCAGCACUUGGAGGGGGCUGUGCCCCAGGGGAUGGACUCGGCUCGGAGAAGUUCCUGGAGAAGUCUCGGCUGGGAGAGAGCGCAGGGUGCAGCAGGGAACGACUCCUGUCCCUGAGCAGAGGGAGAAGCCGCGGGGGAUGAGCUGAGCACGGCCCCAUUCCCUGUCUCCUGCCCUGCCGGGGGAGGAGGUGCAGCUGGGAGCAGGGAGGCGUGGGGAAAGCUGCAUUUAAGGCUCUGCACUGACUUCUCCUCAUCCUGCUCUGAGUCUUUGCAGUUUUCUGCCAGAAAUCUCUCCCCUCCCCCGCUCACCCACAGGGCUUUGGGCAGGUUUCCCUUUUUGGGGGAAAUCAAAGCGAAGCACCGAUGCACUAAUGAGGGGCAGGAGAAGGGAGGCUCCCGGGCUUCCCGCAGAGCCGGAGGCACGGAAGGCGCAGGGCCGGGAAAGCCGUGGCGGGAGGUGCGGAGAAGUUUGUUUGUGUGGGCAGCUCAAUCCCGCCUCGGGCCCGGGCCCGUCCCGGGGCUGUUGCUCAUCUCCGGCUUUGCCCUCACGCAGCGC